GCCCAGUCCCUACAUACAGCCCAUUCCCCUACAUACAGCCCAUUCCCCUACAUACAGCCCAUUCCCUACAUACAGCCCAGUCCCUACAUACAGCCCAGUCCCUACAUACAGCCCAUUCCCCUACAUACAGCCCAUUCCCCUACAUACAGCCCAGUCCCUAUAUACAGCCCAGUCCCUAUAUACAGCCCAGUCCCUACAUACAGCCCAGUCCCUACAAACAGCCCAGUCCCCUACAUACAGCCCAGUCCCCUACAUACAGCCCAGUCCCCUACAUACAGCCCAGUCCCCAUAUGCAGCCCAGUCCCCUACAUGCAGCCCAGUCCCCUACAUACAGCCCAGCCCCCUACAUACAGCCCAGUCCCUACAUGCAGCCCAGUCCCUAUAUGCAGCACAGUCCCCUACAUACAGCCCAGUCCCCUCCAUACAGCCCAGUCCCCUCCAUACAGCCCAGUCCCUACAUGCAGCCCAGUCCCCUACAUGCAGCCCAGUCCCUACAUGCAGCCCAGUCCCUAUAUGCAGCCCAGUCCCUAUAUGCAGCCCAGUCCCCUACAUACAGCCCAGUCCCCUACAUGCAGCCCAGUCCCUACAUGCAGCCCAUCCCCUACAUACAGCCCAGUCCCUACAUGCAGCCCAGUCCCCUACAUACAGCCCAGUCCCCUACAUACAGCCCAGUCCCCUACAUACAGCCCAGUCCCCUACAUCCAGUCCAGUCCCCUACAUACAGCCCAGUCCCCUACAUGCAGCCCAGUCCCUACAUGCAGCCCAGUCCCUACAUGCAGCCCAGUCCCCUACAUGCAGCCCAGUCCCCUACAUGCAGCCCAGUCCCCUACAUACAGCCCAGUCCCCUACAUACAGCCCAGUCCCCUACAUACAGCCCAGUCCCCUACAUGCAGCCCAGUCCCCUACAUGCAGCCCAGUCCCCUACAUGCAGCCCAGUCCCCUACAUACAGCCCAGUCCCUACAUACAGCCCAGUCCCUACAUACAGCCCAGUCCCCUACAUACAGCCCAGUCCCUACAUACAGCCCAGUCCCUACAUACAGCCCAGUCCCCUACAUACAGCCCAGUCCCUAUAUACAGCCCAGUCCCCUACAUACAGCCCAGUCCCCUACAUACAGCCCAGUCCCCU
ensembl:lncRNA